UACGGAGGGUGCAAGCGUUAUCCGGAUUUACUGGGUUUAAAGGGUGUGUAGGCGGACUUUUAAGUCAGCGGUGAAAUCUCCGGGCUCAACCCGGAACUGCCAUUGAUACUAUUGGUCUUGAAUGUUGUGGAGGUGGGCGGAACGGGUCACUGUAGCGGUGAAAUGCAUAGAUAUGACCCGGAACACCGAUUGCCGAAGGCAGCCCGCUACCGCAACGAUUGACGCUGAGGCACGAAAGCGUGGGGAUCAAACAGG
rnacentral:rRNA from 1 species